AGUGAACGCUGGCGGUAGGCCUAACACAUGCAAGUCGAACGGCAGCACAGUAAGAGCUUGCUCUUACGGGUGGCGAGUGGCGGACGGGUGAGGAAUACAUCGGAAUCUACUUUUUCGUGGGGGAUAACGUAGGGAAACUUACGCUAAUACCGCAUACGACCUACGGGUGAAAGCAGGGGAUCUUCGGACCUUGCGCGAUUGAAUGAGCCGAUGUCGGAUUAGCUAGUUGGCGGGGUAAAGGCCCACCAAGGCGACGAUCCGUAGCUGGUCUGAGAGGACGAUCAGCCACACUGGAACUGGGACACGGUCCAGACUCCUACGGGAGGCAGCAGUGGGGAAUAUUGGACAAUGGGCGCAAGCCUGAUCCAGCCAUACCGCGUGGGUGAAGAAGGCCUUCGGGUUGUAAAGCCCUUUUGUUGGGAAAGAAAAGCAGCAGGUUAAUACCCCGCUGUUCUGACGGUACCCAAAGAAUAAGCACCGGCUAACUUCGUG
rnacentral:rRNA from 1 species